GACGAACGCUGGCGGCGUGCUUAACACAUGCAAGUCGAACGGAAAGGCCCUGCUUGCAGGGUACUCGAGUGGCGAACGGGUGAGUAACACGUGGGUGAUCUGCCCUGCACUUCGGGAUAAGCCUGGGAAACUGGGUCUAAUACCGGAUAGGAGCCAUUUUUAGUGUGAUGGUUGGAAAGUUUUUUCGGUGUAGGAUGAGCUCGCGGCCUAUCAGCUUGUUGGUGGGGUAAUGGCCUACCAAGGCGGCGACGGGUAGCCGGCCUGAGAGGGUGGACGGCCACAUUGGGACUGAGAUACGGCCCAGUCUCCUACGGGAGGCAGCAGUGGGGAAUAUUGCACAAUGGGCGCAAGCCUGAUGCAGCGACGCCGCGUGGGGGAUGACGGCCUUCGGGUUGUAAACUCCGUUCGCUAGGGACGAAGCUUUUUGUGAUGGUACCUAGAUAAGAAGCACCGGCUAACUACGUG
rnacentral:rRNA from 1 species